GAGUUUGAUCAUGGCUCAGGAUAAACGCUGGCGGCGUGCCUAACACAUGCAAGUCGAACGUCCUACGCAAGUAGGGAGUGGCGGACGGGUGAGUAACACGUGGGUUAUCUGCCCUGGGGUGAGGAAUACCGGCGAGAAAUCGCCGACAAUACCGCAUAUGCUCGCAAGAGCAAAGCUCGUAAGAGCGCCCGAGGAUGAGCCUGCGCUCGAUUAGUUGGUUGGUGGGGUAAUGGCCUACCAAGACCGCGAUCGAUAGCUGGUCUGAGAGGACGAUCAGCCACACUGGGAUUGAGAACGGCCCAGACUCCUACGGGGGGCAGCAGUGAGGAAUUUUCGUCAAUGGGGGCAACCCUGAACGAGCAACGCCGCGUGCAGGAAGAAGGUUUUUCGGAUCGUAAACUGCUUUUCUCUGGGACGAGAACGGACGGUACCAGAGGAAUCAGCCCCGGCUAACUACGUGCCAGCCGCCGCCGU
rnacentral:rRNA from 1 species